AACGAACGCUGGCGGCAUGCCUAACACAUGCAAGUCGAACGAUUGCCUUCGGGUGAUAGUGGCGCACGGGUGCGUAACGCGUGGGAAUCUGCCCUUAGGUUCGGAAUAACAGCUGGAAACGGCUGCUAAUACCGGAUGAUAUCGCGAGAUCAAAGAUUUAUCGCCUGAGGAUGAGCCCGCGUUGGAUUAGGUAGUUGGUGGGUAAAGGCCUACCAAGCCGACGAUCCAUAGCUGGUCUGAGAGGAUGAUCAGCCACACUGGGACUGAGACACGGCCCAGACUCCUACGGGAGGCAGCAGUGGGGAAUAUUGGACAAUGGGCGCAAGCCUGAUCCAGCAAUGCCGCGUGAGUGAUGAAGGCCCUAGGGUUGUAAAGCUCUUUUACCCGGGAAGAUAAUGACUGUACCGGGAGAAUAAGCCCCGGCUAACUCCGUG
rnacentral:rRNA from 1 species